rnacentral:lncRNA from 1 species
AAAUUGGCUACAAGCCUAAUAAGCAUUUAAAUAGAAAUUCACAAAAGUAAUUUGGAAAUAAUCCAUCUUCAGUUGGCAUGAAAUGUCUACCCUAAACUAAUGUGGCAGGACACUGCAUCUUCCCUAAGCAUGGACUAUCUUAUAUUUACUUAGUGAUCAUGAAGAACAGUUGUAUAAACGUCAUACUUAAAAUCACAGAAAUUAAAUAUGAUUUAAAAGAAGAUAUCCAUUAAAAACAAUAAGUUCAUACAACCCCAAGAAUAGAAAUAAAAAAAUAAAUACAAAUCCCUUAUCCUUUUGUUAGGGCUGCAUCCUGCCCUAGAGAAGAGCUCAGCUUUCCAUGGUACGGAAAGUAGCAGCAGCAAUGUAGAGGACUCCCAUCACGGCUAUCUCCUUCCUUUCUUUGUCUUCUCCCUUCACUGGACUUGGUACGAACUCCCUUAGCAUUUC